AUGAACUGUGCACUGUUUUCUCCACACUGUAAAGAGGACCGUCAUGAGUCAGGGGCCAUCUGCAGAGUGCAUUAUGGAGGUCUCUGUCCCACCCUCGCUUCUGGGAAACACAGGAAGGAGGUGGAGCCGAAAAGACAGAAAUCUGAGGAGCUCUGAGGGAGGUGAAGGGAAGCAGACCCAACGGCGGUGUGAGGACCUUCUUCUGCUUCAGUUGCACCUACUGGACAUCAGUAGUUGGCAGAGGUCUAAAAAAAAUCCCAAAUGCUGGCCAGGAUUGAUUCAUUAAGCCUGUUCAAAAAGUGACUGUUACAACCUGUCACAUGCCAGGCCCUCUGUGGGACCAUGUCGGCAAAUGAGUGCAGUUCUUGUCUUCCCGGGGUUCUGGAGCCAGAGAAGAGCAGUUCACAGCCCGCAUCAGUGCCCGGGGUCACAGCACACGGGGCAGAGGUGGGGGACUCUGUGGGUCGUCGGCACCACUCCAAGGAGGGGAGCCUCGAAGGAAGUUCCAGCCAACCGCCGAAGACGUCCGGCAGAGGGAGCCUGGUGGACAAGGGUGUGAGCGGAGCCCAAGCAGGCUGGACUUGAAGCAGGGAGCGGUGAAAAUCUGAAGGCGAGGCGAGUCUUGGGCCAGGCUGGAAAGACUCUGACCCUGUGACAAGGCACGGCUUGGCUUAAAGUGCUCUUUUCCCACAACUCAACGAGGUGCUCAUUCCCCGGAGCAAUGAAUGGACAUCCGGCCACUAGGAAACCAGGCUUGCUCCCCGAGAUACAACUGGUACCAGAUAGGCCCUAUUUACAACACUUUCACUUUGUCUUUCUAAAAAUAAUCUUAGAAUUCCUAUAAAUCACCCAUUUUUACUUAUGCAGGGUAUAAAGAUAUUUUUAAAAAACAGAUAUUUUUAAAUUUGUUAUAAGAAUAGAUUUGAUUUGACAAACCAAUAUGCCAAAUAGAUGAAUGACAGAUAUUUUCAUUUUAUAGAAAUAACUUACACUUUAAAAGCAUAUUCAUUAAUAUAUUAAUAACUGUUUCUCAAGGGUGUUAUUUUGUUCUUUUGUUUUUGAGCUUGUUAGUAGAUGGUUAAAUAAGAUUGUAUUUAAAAAAAAUAUGUCAGUGAAUAAAUAAAACAUGUUUUAGGGAUAACUGUAAAUUCUGAUACAAAGGUACAAAUGAGCUGUGUAUGAGAAGUUAAAUAAAUAGGACCACGUUGCAG
rnacentral:lncRNA from 1 species